rnacentral:rRNA from 1 species
AACGAACGCUGGCGGCAGGCUUAACACAUGCAAGUCGAACGGGCGUAGCAAUACGUCAGUGGCGGACGGGUGAGUAACACGUGGGAAUGUGCCUUUCGGUUCGGAACAACUCGGGGAAACUCGUGCUAAUUCCGGAUACGCCCUUACGGGAAGAUUAUCGCCGAAAGAUCAGCCCGCGUCCGAUUAGCUAGUUGGUGAGGUAAAGGCUCACCAAGGCACCGAUCGGUAGCUGGUUUGAGAGAACGACCAGCCACACUGGGACUGAGACACGGCCCAGACUCCUACGGGAGGCAGCAGUGGGGAAUCUUGGACAAUGGGCGCAAGCCUGAUCCAGCCAUGCCGCGUGAGUGAUGAA